rnacentral:rRNA from 1 species
AUUGAACGCUGGCGGCAUGCUUUACACAUGCAAGUCGAACGGCAGCGCGGGCUUCGGCCUGGCGGCGAGUGGCGAACGGGUGAGUAAUACAUCGGAACGUGCCCAGUAGUGGGGGAUAGCUCGGCGAAAGCCGGAUUAAUACCGCAUACGACCUGAGGGUGAAAGCGGGGGAUCUUCGGACCUCGCGCUAUUGGAGCGGCCGAUGGCAGAUUAGCUAGUUGGUGGGGUAAAGGCCUACCAAGGCGACGAUCUGUAGCUGGUCUGAGAGGACGACCAGCCACAAUGGGACUGAGACACGGCCCAGACUCCUACGGGAGGCAGCAGUGGGGAAUUUUGGAAAAUGGGCGAAAGCCUGAUCCAGCAAAGCCGCGUGUGUGAUGAAGGCCUUCGGGUUGUAAAGCACUUUUGGCGGGAAAGAAAAGGACUGUGCCAAUACCACGGUUCGAUGACGGUACCCGCAGAAUAAGCACCGGCUAACUACGUG